rnacentral:tRNA from 1 species
AUUUAAAUAGUUUAUACAAAAUAUAGAAUUGUGAUUUCUAAGAAGCUUUUUAAAGCUUUAAGUU